AGCAGUGACGUGCCUCCUCCGUUCCUAACCCCAAAGCCGAAGCCCCCGUGCACCUCACCAUAGCCACCAGCAUCAGCCCCAAUAUGACCAUUAAAGUCUCCUCCAAUAACUAGCUUCUCAGAUUGGGGAAUACUACUUACCAGAUCAUCCAAGCCCUCCCAAAAGCGCCUCUUAGCCUCCUCGUCUAAGCCCGCUUGCGGCGCGUAAGCGCUG
rnacentral:lncRNA from 1 species